rnacentral:rRNA from 1 species
GAUCAUGGCUCAGAUUGAACGCUGCGGCAUGCCUUACACAUGCAAGUCGAACGGCAGCGGGCCUUCGGGUGCCGGCGAGUGGCGAACGGGUGAGUAAUGCAUCGGAACGUGCCAUUGAGUGGGGGAUAACGUAGCGAAAGUUGCGCUAAUACCGCAUAUUCUGUGAGCAGGAAAGCAGGGGACCGCAAGGCCUUGCGCUCUUUGAGCGGCCGAUGUCAGAUUAGCUAGUUGGUGAGGUAAAGGCUUACCAAGGCGACGAUCUGUAGCGGGUCUGAGAGGAUGAUCCGCCACACUGGAACUGAGACACGGUCCAGACUCCUACGGGAGGCAGCAGUGGGGAAUUUUGGACAAUGGGGGCAACCCUGAUCCAGCCAUGCCGCGUGAGUGAAGAAGGCCUUCGGGUUGUAAAGCUCUUUCGGCCGGGAAGAAAUCGCAUGGGUGAAUACCCUGUGUGGAUGACGGUACCGGAACAAGAAGCACCGGCUAACUACGUG